rnacentral:rRNA from 1 species
UACGUAGGUGGCAAGCGUUGUCCGGAUUUAUUGGGUUUAAAGGGUGCGUAGGCGGCCCUGUAAGUCAGUGCUGAAAUACCCCGGCUUAACCGGGGGGGUGGCAUUGAUACUGCAGGGCUUGAGUACAGAUGAGGUAGGCGGAAUUGACGGUGUAGCGGUGAAAUGCAUAGAUAUCGUCAAGAACACCGAUAGCGAAGGCAGCUUACUGGGCUGUAACUGACGCUGAUGCACGAAGGUGUGGGGAUCAAACAGG